rnacentral:misc_RNA from 1 species
UGGAAGUAAAAGUCGUAACAAGGUUUCCGUAGGUGAACCUGCGGAAGGAUCAUUAAAAAAUGUGGUACCAUUAUUGUACUAAUUAAUCAUCCUACCUUUGUGAAUUUGUUUGUAUGAAUUUUUUAAAUGGGUCUUUCCUAAGUUGGAUUGUAGUAAAAUACAAAAAGACUUAGGGGAAUGACUUUUUUAAAAGACUUUUUUUAAUUAAAACUUUUUGUAUUCAUUUGUCUAAAAUUUAUUUUUAUAAUAUAAAAACAACUUUGACAAUGGAUUCUUGUUCUCGCAACGAUGAAGAACGCAGCAAAAUGCGAUAAUAGUGUGAAUUGCAGAAUACGUGAAUCAUCGAAUCUUCGAACGCAUAUUGCACUUUUUUAGUUUACUAAAAAAGUAUGUCUGUUUGAGUAUCAGUAAAAUAUUCUCACAAACAUAUAUUGUUUGUGGUUAUGAGUGUUUACAACGAUAAACAAGUUGUUCACUUUAAAUUCUUUUUAAUUGAAUUUUUACCAAUUCAUAAAUAAAAUUGGAUAAAAUUUUCCUUAACGAGGAAUAACCUAAACAAUUUUAAAUUUUAUGGAUUAAUAAACAUUCAUCAAAGGAAUCUAAUUAUACAUAAAUAACUUGAUCUCAAAUCAGAUAAGAGUACCCGCUGAACUUAAGCAUAUCAAUAAGCGGAGGAAAAGAAAUUAACAAGGAUUCCCUUAGUAACGGCGAGUGAAGCGGGAAGAGCUCAAAUUUGAAAUCUUCAAGUUUGACCUUGACGAAUUGUAGUUUAUAGAAGUGUUUUCUGUUGGAGUUUUGGUUAAAAGUUCUUUGGAAUAGGACAUCAUAGAGGGUGAGAAUCCCGUAUUGACCAUGACUUUCCAGCUGUGUGAUACACUUUCAAAGAGUCGGAUUGUUUGGGAAUGCAGUCCAAAAUGGGUGGUAAAUUCAUCUAAAGCUAAAUAUUGGCAGAGACGAUAGCGAACAAGUACCGUGAGGGAAAGAUGAAAAGAAUUUGAAAAGAGAGUUAAACAGUACGUGAAAUUGUCAAAAGGAAGCGUUUGACACCAGUGUGUUUCUCGAAAAUCAAUUUAAUGAGUUCUUGUUUUUAAUUAUUGUGACUUAUCAGCGCAUUUCUUAUUUACUUGACUCAUUGAAUGCACUUUUCGUUUAACAAGUCACAUCAAUUCUUGGUGGUAAAAAGUUUAAAGGAAGGUGGCUUGGACU